UGCAGAGGUCCCAAGCGUUACUGAGAAUCACUGGGUUUAAAGGGUGCGUAGGUGGCGCGUUAAGUCCGUUGUGAAAUCCCUGGGCUCAACCCAGGAACUGCUUCGGAUACUGGCGUGCUUGAGGCCGGUAGGGGUCACUGGAACAGACGGUGGAGCGGUGAAAUGCGUUGAUAUCAUCUGGAAUACCGGAGGCGAAGGCGGCUCACUGGGGGUCUUCUGACGCUGAGGAACGAAAGCCAGGGGAGCGAACGGG
rnacentral:rRNA from 1 species